GGGGCAGCUCCUGCGUUGAGCAUCUGCCCCCUUGUGGUCAGUGCACAUCAUAGUGACCAGUCAUUCUGCUGUUUGGUCAAUUUGCAUAUUAGAGUUUAUAAUAUAGGAUGAUAGUAAUGGUAGUUUGAAGAAUAUUUAUUGUCUGUAUAUUGUAUUAAGUGCUCCUUAUGCCUUAUUAAUCUUUAUAUUACCUCUUAUGAGAUAGGUGACUGCAGUGUAGAAAAUAUUUAUUUUUUGGUUAAUAGGGCACUAUUUCUUUUUAUUUAGGAAAAGCAUUUUAUUUUGCUAGCAUGCAUUAUAAGGAACAUUUGCCUGCAUAUCUUCCUGAAGGAGAGAAGCUACUGUACUUAAGGUCUUACAGGGAUUUUGUUUGCUAGUUGAAUAUACAGGGUUUAUUAGAAGCUUUAUUUUGAUUUCUUAUAAGUUAGGUAUUACUCAGGGGAUGAUACUGGUUUAAUUUACUCUGACUUUAUCCCACCCCAAUUAUAUGUGCAGUUUUCUUUUUAUAUUAAAUUCUAAUGUAUGUAUGGUAAAAUGUGGAAACUUUAAAGUACAGAGCUGAAUGACUUAAAAAUAUGUGUUUAUAUAUAUAACCACUAUCCAGAUCAAGAUGUAGAAUAUUUUUAUUGUCCCAGAAAGUUCCUCUUGCUCUUCUCUUUCAAAUCCAAUAUCCUUUCUCCCUGAGGUAAGCAUCAUUCUGCAUUCUAUCAGCAUAGCUUAGUUUUCCUUGAACUUUGUGUAUAUAAAACUAUACAUUCUGUAUUCUCUUGUUUCUAUUUUUCAUACAACAUAAUGCUUUUUGAGAUUUCCUCCAUGUUGUAUCAGUAGUUCAUUAUUUUUUAAUGUUGAGUAAUAUUCUGUUAUAUGAAAAUACUACAAAUUUUUUAUGCACUGUCUAUAAUUUUGUUUAUUGGAUUCUCCGAGUGCCAACAUUCUACAGCUGCUUUCCUUCCUCUAGUUUUCCCGUUCAUUUUCCACAUCACCUGCACAAUGAAAUGGUAAAAACUGUUGGAGUGGAGGAAGAAAUUGAAUUAUAGCCUGGAAUUGUGAUAACAUUUUCGUUUCCUAUAGCUUAGGAAACUUGAUGUUUGCUGAAAAGUAUUUUUUAAAAGUUUGUUUUAUCAAUGUAAAUCUGUAAUAUACAUAAAUAAUAUAUAUUUUUUACUUUUUUAUUGAAUUUUAUUGGUGUGACAUUGGUUAAUAAAAUUACAUGGGUUUUAGGUUUAUAGUUCUAUAAUACAUUAUCUGUAUAUUGUAUUGUGUUUACCACCCCAAGUCAAGUCUUCUUCCAUCACCAUUUAUCCCCCUCUAUAUUUUCUUAAGAAAUGAAACUUUAUAAAACUUUGAAGCAUUUCGCACUAGUUUUCUUCCAUAUUUGAAAUUUGGCUAGUUGGGUUGGAUAUCGUAGUCAGCUGGGGAGUUUUUAUGCCUGAAGCUUGAUUGCCUUCUAGCAAGUCCAAAGCGAAGAGAGGUUCUUUCCCACUGGGAUCAAUUUGUUGCUUUUCCUCUUUGCAGCUUCUGCCAUAAAGGUUGAACACAGAGUUGGAUGGGAUGUUGACCCCAUCUCAUGCUGUUCCUCUAUCUCUUUACAAAGGUUUUCUUAGACACAGAUUCUAAUUGAAUGUAGGACCCCAGGUAUUUCUUUUAUUUCAUCAUGGAUGUUAAGUGUGUUUUUUGAUAAAUUUUGAGUAUUCAGAGAAAUUUAAUCUUGUGAUUGCUUGAUUUAGUGUCUUUAUUAGAUUUUAGACUAGUGCAUUCCCCUCCCAGAGGCUGAUAGGUAUAUUUGAAUUCAGACUCUUCCUCUUCAUUUUGUGCUUGAAUAUUUUAGUCAACUGCGGCUAAGCUUUUCCAUUUUGCAGAAUUCCUAACUCCAAGGAUUUGAAGUUCUUCCCAAAAGUGUGUCUUUUUUAGCUUAAUUUCCUUAAUUUCCAAAUUACCCUCUCUGUGUUAGUAGCACGGUAGAUGUGCUUCCUGUUGUUGUAAUGUGAAAAAAGACACCUUUUAAUUAAUAUGAUUAUUUGUUCUUCACUCUUGAUGACAUUGUACAGUGUACAUUUGACUGUUUUCAAAUAUAUUGCCAAGCAACAUUCAGUAUUUUCAAAAUUGUAUUUUAAAAUAAAAGUCAUAUUCCUUAUAUGUGUGAGCAAAUAGUAUAGAAAUAUUUAAAAAUAAGAAGUAAAACUCUCUUCUCUCCCAGCACUGUGCUCCCCAUAAAUUAUCAAAAAUAGCUUGUAUAUAUUGUGCAUCUUUCUCUUUCCAUUUAGCAAUAUAUCUUGGUCUUGGACAUUUUUUCAUAUAUACAUUACAUAUAACUGUUUAGAUACUUGGGUAAAUCUCAGGGUUUUGUUUUGUUUUUUUUUGCUUAUAUAAGCAAUACUGCAAUAAAUAUUCUUGACUCUA